UUCAAAUAUCAAGCUCACAACAAUGAAAGCAUGUACAUCAAAAUAUAGAGCUGCUUUGUCUAAAAAAAAUUCUGACUAACCUACUAAGUGAAAAUACCCGUAAAAUUAUAACGGUCGCAAGUGGUCGCAGUUAAUUUAAUACACAUUAGUACUUUACAAAUGGAAUACAUUAACUUAACAUAUUUGGUAAGGGGCACAAGAGGACACAAACAAAUUGUGGACCUCAAUUGACAGAAUAUCCGCCGUCUGGCCCAAUGUGCAGCGACUCGUUACGUUAUGUGCCUUGGUCUGCCGCCUACUUCAUACCGCACUCUCCCUCCUGCACACCCUCACAAAGUCAGUCACAAAGAACAAACGCAACCCGUUGGCUUUGUUACUGUUCUUGCUUCUUCCGCCAAAAGUGAGCAAACCCCAGACCCGAGGCGAAGAAAGAAAGCAGCAAGAAAUCUUUCUACUGCCGCGAGCGCAAAAGCGUGUGAUUGCUCCUGAAAACCCAAACAGAUUAACUGUGUAUGGGUCUUCGACUUCGACAACCUCUCCAAUGCCCUACCCACGUUAUAUGAAACACCAAGCGCCCUACAUUUUCGAAAGUAACCACAUUAUGCCUAUAUAAGGACUAGAUAUGACUAGAUAUCAUUGUUACGAAGCCCAUCUAUAAGUCGAGUCGGCCGCAUAGGGUUCGCUUUUCCUUCAGUGGAAGUAUCUGCCAAAUGCACACCGAUAUCUUGCUGCCGGUGCUGUCGAUGAUAAGCGCAAAUAGACAAAACAAACACAAAACUUGCUAACAAUUAUAAAUGAUUAGAUCGCUUUUUGGAGCAUUCACUUUGGACGGUUCUUUAACAGUAUCUUUUUGUAUUGUACAAAUGUACACACAUACAUAUGUACAUACAUAUAUCAUCCGUCGCAAGUUUACAGACGACUUUAGAUUUUAUAUACAUUUGAAGUACAUAUGUAUGUAGUUGUUCAUUUAUAUAAAAUGCAUGAGUCGCUGGAUCGGCUUAAGCCAAGCCAAUGCUGCUUGAGUGCUGGGGAUAUAUGAAUCACACACCUGCAUAGAUUCAGCUUUGUACAAACAUACAUACAUAUGUAUGCCAGGCGGCCAGUUGCGUUGCGGAUAAAUUAUCUUGAAUCGGAAUGACUCAGCAGCCCAGCCCCAGCCGGCUUACAAGCCAGUACAUAUUUAUAAACAAAUUAUUCGCACUUUCUUACAGCUUGCAUAGACCAGUACCAGCUCAUACUCUGUCUGCGCUCUCUCGCCCACGGACCUCAGUGAUAUAAAAAGCCUAUCUAAUCUGGCAGCCGGAGCACAAGACCUUGCCAAUUGCACUAAACUGCUCACAGUGUGGUUACACAAAAGUUCAGAACAGACCCAAGCGGUUCCAAAGGUCGAGAAGUUGCAGGGGAAAUCGAAUAGGGGGCUAUCAAUGUCCUGAAAUACCCGUAAUAUGAUGGUUAUAAUUCACCCACAGCCAAGGGUUUGCUUUUAUUUACAGAGGCAACUUUGUAAUUUACAAAAAUGGUAACGAAUAAAUCAAAUAUGUGGAAGCAUAUAUGUAUGUAUGUAAUAUAACCUACUUGAAUAUUACAUCUAUGAAGGGACAUGGGAGGGAAGGGAGUUUUAUUUGUGUUGCUAACAAAAAGCUUGGCCAAAUAUUUCAACAUACACUUCAUUUUCUGGAGACUUGACUUGUACAAUAAAUUUUGCUGGCAGACCGCCUACCGGAUAGUUGUUCUUAGCUAGUGAAUAGCGUGCUCCUGCUGGUGCGAGAGAUGAAACAA
rnacentral:sRNA from 15 species